rnacentral:rRNA from 1 species
CCCGCACAAGCAGUGGAGUAUGUGGUUUAAUUCGAAGCAACGCGAAGAACCUUUACCAGGGCUUGACAUCCCUUGAAGCAGCUAGAGAUAGCUGUGUCCUUCGGGACAAGGAGACAGGUGGUGCAUGGUUGUCGUCAGCUCGUGUCGUGAGAUGUUGGGUUAAGUCCCGCAACGAGCGCAACCCCUGUGGUUAGUUGCCAGCAAGUAGCGUUGGGCACUCUAGCCAGACUGCCGGUGAUAAAUCGGAGGAAGGUGGGGACGACGUCAAAUCAUCAUGCCCUUUAUGUCCUGGGCUACACACGUACUACAAUGGCCGUUACAACGGGAAGCGAAGGAGCAAUCCGGAGCAAAUCCCUUAAAGGCGGUCCCAGUUCAGAUUGUGGGCUGAAACUCGCCCACAUGAAGGCGGAAUUGCUAGUAAUUGCAGAUCAGCAUGCUGCAGUGAAUACGUUCCCGGGCCUU